UACGUAGGGUGCGAGCGUUUGCCGGAAUUACUGGGCGUAAAGCGUGCGCAGGCGGUUUGUUAAGACAGAUGUGAAAUCCCCGGGCUCAACCUGGGAAUUGCAUUUGUGACUGCACGGCUAGAGUGUGUCAGAGGGGGGUAGAAUUCCACGUGUAGCAGUGAAAUGCGUAGAGAUGUGGAGGAAUGACCGAUGGCGAAGGCAGCCCCCUGGGAUAACACUGACGCUCAUGCACGAAAGCCGUGGGGAGCAAACAGG
rnacentral:rRNA from 1 species